UACGAAGGGGGCUAGCGUUGCUCGGAAUCACUGGGCGUAAAGGGUGCGUAGGCGGGUCUUUAAGUCAGGGGUGAAAUCCUGGAGCUCAACUCCAGAACUGCCUUUGAUACUGAAGAUCUUGAGUUCGGGAGAGGUGAGUGGAACUGCGAGUGUAGAGGUGAAAUUCGUAGAUAUCGGGAGGAACACCAGCGGCGAAGGCGGCCAUCUGGACAGAUAUUGACGCUGAGGUGCGAAAGCGUGGGGAGCAAACAGG
rnacentral:rRNA from 1 species